rnacentral:rRNA from 1 species
AAUGGCCGCGGUACUUUGACCGUGCUAAGGUAGCGCAAUCAAUUGGCUCUUAAUUGGAGUCAGGAAUGAAUGGAGUUACGGGGUUCAGCUGUCUCCUAGCUAAUUAAUUGAAGUUACUAUGUAGGUGAAAAAGCCUAUGUGUAGAAAAAGGACGAGAAGACCCUUAGAGUUUUACCUAAUGUAAUACUAAAGAGUUAUUUAUUACACUGGUUUUGUUGGGGCAACACAGGAGCAAGCUAAAUAAGUUAAUCUCCUGAAUUAAAUGAACCGAUAGUUUUAAAUGUAAAUAAACUACCUUAGGGAUAACAGCAUAAUUUUAUAGAUAAGUUUGUGACCUCGAUGUUGGACUAGGAAACCUAAAGGCUAGUCGUCUUCAGGGAAAGUUCUGUUC